rnacentral:rRNA from 1 species
CCAGGGAGACUGCCGGUGAUAAACCGGAGGAAGGUGGGGACGACGUCAAGUCAUCAUGGCCCUUACGAGUAGGGCUACACACGUGCUACAAUGGCGCAUACAGAGGGCGGCCAACUUGCGAAAGUGAGCGAAUCCCAAAAAGUGCGUCGUAGUCCGGAUUGGAGUCUGCAACUCGACUCCAUGAAGUCGGAAUCGCUAGUAAUCGUGGAUCAGAAUGCCACGGUGAAUACGUUCCC